rnacentral:rRNA from 1 species
UACGUAGGGGGCAAGCGUUGUCCGGAUUUAUUGGGCGUAAAGAGCGUGUAGGCGGCUAGAUAGGUCCGUUGUGAAAACUCGAGGCUCAACCUCGAGACGUCGAUGGAAACCAUCUGGCUAGAGUCCGGAAGAGGAGAGUGGAAUUCCUGGUGUAGCGGUGAAAUGCGCAGAUAUCGGGAGGAACACCAGUGGCGAAGGCGACUUCUUGGCCUGUUCUUGACGCUGAGGCGCGAAAGCUGGGGGAGCAAACGGG